AACAAAAAGAAACGCACGUGCUACACGUUCGAAAAUCGAGCAGUCCGCGCUAAGCGCCCACCCUCUACAAAUACGAGGACAACGAUAAAGGAGGAGACCGAGCAACCCACGACGGCGACGUUCACCCAGAUAAACAAAAGAUCUGGGUGGGUAGCCACUGACCGAUACUUAACCAAGCACACUCAAGAAGGACGACAACGCAGGGUAGGCCGAAAACCUCUCUCUUGGCCCCGACUUAGGACGUAGUACCCAACACCGGAUGAGGUACGCUGGUACGGCGCAGUGCAGAGCAGAAAAAAACACUCGGCAGGCACUGGUAGCGAGGUACAAAACGGGAGACCGACCACCGGGAACAAGGGAAGACCAGGGCGUGUAGUCGCAGCAGGUGAAAUUUGGCGGGUCUUGGGAUCUGCAUGCUGCCACGUCGCAGCAGGAGAGGGUCGGCGGAGGAGAAGAGGGAGCUGGAGCGAGGAGAGCGCGGCGGGCGGAGGAGAAGAGGAAGGAAAGACACUGAGACCUAGCCCACGCGUCAGCGGCGGCAAAUACAGGCGUGUCGGCUGGUCGAAGCGCCACGGGCCUCGUGGAGGACUCAAGCAGGAGGGAAGGAACGUCGGGACGAGAGUAAUCCCUUCCUGCCUAGGUAAGUGGGGGAGCGGGCCGUAGCGAGCCACUUGUUCUGUCUGCUUUAACUACACGCAAAGGAGAGGAGAGCGGGUUGCUUCCGCCUUCUACGUUCGCCACCGAGGAGUGGAUCGGCAUGCCACUACCUAAGUUACCUCUUCUCCUUCGUACAAGGGAGGUAAUGGACCGAACAAAGUCCUUCACUCAUACGUUCUAUUGAAGUUCGUUUCACAUGUCUCCGACGUCGACUUCGACCUAAAACUUCCAACGUUCAACCUAAGAUAACCUUGUUAGUGACUUUUACUACUCUCUCAAACAGAGUGUACACGACGAGUGACUACUCUUCAUCUAACUUCACUUAGCGCGAUCUCUUCUUCCUCGCCAGCCCUUUCAUGUGGUCACUACGGGACGUUCAGCUCGUUGUCCUUCGAUUCCUCUACGAGUCACAUUAGGGACUCUUCGUUUCUCGCUUGGUUUCUUGUACAGGCGAAGUUCCCACGUGGUCCUCAUCAGACUACUAUUCCGACUUCGAUAAAGUCGUUGACAACUUCCUUUCUUACUAUUCCGACUGGUCACAAUCUACUGGUUCUGGUUUUUGUUUUCUUAUUGAAGAUUUUUUCCUCGAGAUGAUGACCUUUCCCCCUUCCCUAUAAUUUCUUUAGUUCUGUCACUGAUGAGACGCGGUCGAUACGUCUCUAAUUAAUGGAUAUCCAAUGGAUAGGAUAUUAUAAUCGAAGAGGAGCUAACUGUAGAGUUCUCCUUUUGCCAGUAAGUACGUUGAUCCGAGUGGUAGUUGUUGCGAGGCGAUGUUACGAGAAACUGGUCGAAGUUCUCUCAGAGAAUUACGCAGACGAUGAACGUACUUGUUUCGGUGCUGGUCCUUAAUACAUUGGUCACUUGACUUACGAGGAAUAAUUCGUACGAGAUUUUGAUCUCAGAAACCGACGAGUCCAUCGAUAGAGUUUCGUUUCGUUUUUGUUUUUGAGGGCAUAUAAUACUUCACUUGAGAUCG
rnacentral:rRNA from 1 species